GAUAAACGCUGGCGGAGUGCAUAACACAUGCAAGUCGAACGAUGAAGAUUAAAAGAUUUCUUCGGAAUGAACUUAAUUGGAUUAGUGGCGGACGGGUGAGUAACGCGUGAGUAACCUGCCUUGUACAAGGGGAUAGCCGUUGGAAACGACGAAUAAUACCCUAUGACAUCAAAUAAUCGCAUGAUAAUUUGAUCAAAGAUUUAUCGGUAUAAGAUGGACUCGCGUCUGAUUAGCUAGUUGGUAGAGUAAAAGCCUACCAAGGCAACGAUCAGUAGCCGGCUUGAGAGAGUGUACGGCCACAUUGGGACUGAGACACGGCCCAGACUCCUACGGGAGGCAGCAGUGGGGAAUUUUGCACAAUGGGGGAAACCCUGAUGCAGCGACGCCGCGUGAUUUAGAAGGCCUUCGGGUUGUAAAAAUCUUUUGUAUGGGAAGAAAAUGACAGUACCAUACGAAUAAGGACCGGCUAAUUACGUG
rnacentral:rRNA from 1 species